GUAGGAUGCCGGUGACAGUGGGCUGAGAUGCGCUCCAGAGGCUGCUGACAGAAUCCACAAGGAAACCCUGCAAGAUGGAGGAAGGGGUCUCUAAACAGGUGGACUUAGGGAGGGGUUCCCUCCAUUGCAUCCAGGAAGAAAUGCCGGGGUACAGAUCUUCUCACAAGCGUUGUGCCUCCAUAUCCUCAUCCCAGGCAAGCACGUGGACCAAAGCAGACAGGUUUCACGGGCUGGAGAGAUGGCUCAGCGGUUAAGAGCACCCAACUACUCUUCUAGAGAUCCUGAGUUCAGUUCCCAGCAACCACAUGGUGGCUCACAACCAUCUGUAAAGGGAUCUGAUGCCCUCUUCUGGUGUAUCUGAAGACAGCUACAGUGUACUUAUAUAUAAUAAGUGAAUAAAUCUUUAAAAAAAAAAAAUAAAAUAAAGACAGGUUUCACUGUGUAGCCCUGGCUGUCCUGGACCUU
rnacentral:lncRNA from 1 species